rnacentral:lncRNA from 11 species
AGUUUUCAGGUAAAGGAAAUUACUUUAUUAUCAUUACCUUUUACUGCUGAAAAGGAGAGAACACCACUUUUAGAUCCUGUGCCAAAAUAAUAUGACAAGUUCCAUGUGUUGUGCAGCUGAGGGUUGGGAAUUGUGUUGCUCUGCCUCAGGCAGUGAAAUUUCUUGAACCAGACCUGGUUUUGGCUAGAUAAUCUGCCAAUAUUUAUUCCCAAAAGAAAAUAUUUGCACAGCUUUACCCUGUUUCUCAUUGGCCAUUUUUAGAGGCUAGGGAAACUUAAUCUCUUAAAAUAGAGAUCACUUUUUGACAUUUUCUCCAGUGCUCUUUUGAUUUCUUAAUAUUCAUUUAGGAGACUGGACUUUCACAAUAAUUAAUCAGGAUGAAUAAGAUUCUUCUCCUUGGAUUUUCAGCUCUGUUCUGCUGGACUGUUGGCUCAGCUUUCUCCUUACGUUCAUGUGACACACCAACAGCUGACACACAAACGUAUUGUGACAUACAUUUUGGAAAGAUCGUCUUUAUCAGGUGCGGUUUUGUGGUGCACUUCCAAGUGUUUUCAAUUUGAAAAAUAGCAAUUUCUUUAUUUUUCACUUUCACAGGGAGUCCUGUUCUCCUAACUUCAGUUAAUGUGGAGAAGUAAUUGUAAUUCUUGUGCUUAUUUUGCAAGACAAGAGAAAACAUAAGAAAGGGGAUGUUUGUUAUCUUCCUCUCUAGUGUAUGAGGCAAAGGGCAUAUAUUUUUUUUGUUAAGCUGCAGAUACCGUAACUAGAGUGCCAAAAAUAUCAAAACAAGAAGCAAAAGAAAAUGGGAAGUGGUCAAAAGUCGACCUUUGAUUUUGAAAAACGAAGUUAAUCUUGAAUGUACAUGUGUUCAGAGAGGGCAGGAAAAAGAGAGGGAAGAAGGCCUAUUGAACAGCUGGUUUGGUAUUUGUAUCAUAUAUAGGUAGGUAUUAGUGUUAGGUUAAUUGAUAUUCGUAUUGGGCUUCUAGGGGUCCAUCUACACUUUGGAAAGAAUGCUGUUUGACAUCCCUUUAACUGUCAUUAUACAGCGCUAUGAGAUGAUGAGUUUGGUGGGCCACCAGCAUCAUUUGGCAGAGAAGGCAAAAAAAGAAAGAAAAAGAAAACAGGUAAAACUUCAACUCCCAUGAUUCUAUAGCAGGCAUGGGUAAACUUCAGCCCUCCAGAUGUUUUGGACUUCAAUUUUUAGAAAUCCCAACCAGUUUACUGGCUGUUAGGAACUGUGGGAGUUGAAGUCCAAAACACUUGGAGGGCCAAAAUGUGCCCAUCCCUGUUCUAUAGCAUUGAGCCAUGGAAGUUAAGGUUGUGUAAAGCUGCAUUAAGAUUCACCCUGAAAGAGACAAUACACUUUCCUAUCUUUUUUGGGUAAAUCCUUGGGAAUCUUGAGUUGCCAAAGACAAUGCUAACUGACAUGUAUGUUUGUCAAACAUAAUUUCAGGGGCUUAUUUUGUCUCUGUCUUCUUUUGAAAUAUAUUAGAUUAAAUACAUUUUAUUUCUACACUAGCCAAAAUGUCCUUUUAUUUCUAUAGUUGCUAAUUUUAUUAAUAAAUCUGCAGAGUCUUCUAGGUCAGUAGUUCUCAACCUAUGGUUCCCCAGAUGUUUUGGCUUUCAACUACCAGAAAUCCUAACAGCUGGUAAACUGGCUGGGAUUUCUGGGAGUUGAA